rnacentral:rRNA from 1 species
CCCCGGCGAGGGGAGUGAAAAAGAACCUGAAACCGUGUACGUACAAGCAGUGGGAGCACCCUUUGGGGUGUGACUGCGUACCUUUUGUAUAAUGGGUCAGCGACUUAUAUUCUGUAGCAAGGUUAACCGUAUAGGGGAGCCGGAGGGAAACCGAGUCUUAAUUGGGCGUUAAGUUGCAGGGUAUAGACCCGAAACCCGGUGAUCUAGCCAUGGGCAGGUUGAAGGUUGGGUAACACUAACUGGAGGACCGAACCGACUAAUGUUGAAAAAUUAGCGGAUGACCUGUGGCUGGGGGUGAAAGGCCAAUCAAACCGGGAGAUAGCUGGUUCUCCCCGAAAGCUAUUUAGGUAGCGCCUCGUGAAUUCAUCUCCGGGGGUAGAGCACUGUUUCGGCUAGGGGGCCAUCCCGGCUUACCAACCCGAUGCAAACUGCGAAUACCGGAGAAUGUUAUCACGGGAGACACACGGCGGGUGCUAACGUCCGUCGUGAAGAGGGAAACAACCCAGACCGCCAGCUAAGGUCCCAAAGUCAUGGUUAAGUGGGAAACGAUGUGGGAAGGCCCAGACAGCCAGGAUGUUGGCUUAGAAGCAGCCAUCAUUUAAAGAAAGCGUAAUAGCUCACUGGUCGAGUCGGCCUGCGCGGAAGAUGUAACGGGGCUAAACCAU